rnacentral:rRNA from 1 species
GGACGUUACCAAGGGCGAUGAUGCAUAGCCCGAGUUGAGAGACUGAUCGGCCACAUUGGGGACUGAGACACGGCCCAAACUCCUACGGGAGGCAGCAGUAGGGAAUCUUCCACAAUGGACGCAAGUCUGAUGGAGCAAACGCCGCGUGAGUGAAGAAGGUUUUCGGGAUCGUAAAGCUCUGUUGUUGGUGAAGAAGGAUAGAGGUAGUAACUGGCCCUUUAUUUGACGGUAAUCAACCAGAAAGUCACGGGCUAACUACGUGCCCAGCAGCCGCGGUAAAU